CCUCUGUGAUGAACAAACUAAGAUGACGAGUCUGAAAUCCAUUCUUUUAAAUCGUGAGGACAAUUCGAGGCAUUUGUCUGAGAGGA
rfam:Solanum tuberosum cultivar DM 1-3 516 R44 scf00548_22, whole genome shotgun sequence.